rnacentral:rRNA from 1 species
GACGAACGCUGGCGGCGUGCUUUACACAUGCAAGUCGAGCGGUGAAGGUGGAGCUUGCUCCGCCGGAUCAGUGGCGAACGGGUGAGUAACACGUGGGCAACCUGCCCCUAACUUUGGGAUAACUACUCGAAAGAGUAGCUAAUACCGGAUAUGAAGUCUGUAGGCAUCUAUGGAUUUGGAAAGUUUUUCGGUUAGGGAUGGGCCCGCGGCCUAUCAGCUUGUUGGUAAGGUAGUGGCUCACCAAGGCGACGACGGGUAGCCGGCCUGAGAGGGGGACCGGGCACACUGGGACGGACACACGGCCCAGACUCCUACGGGAGGCAGCAGUGGGGAAUAUUGCGCAAUGGGCGAAAGCCUGACGCAGCAACGCCGCGUGCGGGAUGAAGGCCUUCGGGUUGUAAACCGCUUUCAGCAGGGAAGAAGCGAAAGUGACGGUACCUGCAGAAGAAGCACCGGCUAACUACGUGCCAGCAGCCGCCGUAA